UAAAACAGAGUUUUCAAUGUU
rnacentral:piRNA from 1 species